GACGAACGCUGGCGGCGUGCUUAACACAUGCAAGUCGAACGGUAAGGCCCUUUCGGGGGUACACGAGUGGCGAACGGGUGAGUAACACGUGGGUGAUCUGCCCUGCACUUUGGGAUAAGCCUGGGAAACUGGGUCUAAUACCGAAUAGGACUACGCUCUGCAUGGGGUGUGGUGGAAAGCUUUUGCGGUGUGGGGUGGGCCCGCGGCCUAUCCGCUUGUUGGUGGGGUGAUGGCCUACCAAGGCGACGACGGGUAGCCGGCCUGAGAGGGUGGCCGGCCACACUGGGACUGGGGUAGGGCCCAGACGCCGACGGGGGGCAGCAGUGGGGGAUAUUGCACAAUGGGCGCAAGCGUGAGGCAGCGACGCCGGGUGGGGGAUGACGGCCUUCGGGUUGUAAACCUCUUUCAGCACAGACGAAGCGCAAGUGACGGUAUGUGCAGAAGAAGGGCCGGCCAACUACGUGCCAGCAGCCGCAGUAAAAC
rnacentral:rRNA from 1 species